CCCAAGCUAGGGCCUCGUCUACAUACACCCUGAUAACAACAGAGGGUUAAAGCCCUUUGGGGGAUCUAUUAAGAGACCGUAGUUGGAUCAUGGCUGCUGGGUUACAGUGGAGAGAGAAGUUGGUGUGGAUAUAACGUGGUGUGUUAUAGUGUGUUAUAGUGUGUUAUGGUGUGUUAUAGUGUGUUAUGGUGUGUUAUGGUGUGUUAUAGUGUGUUAUGGUGUGUUAUGGUGUGUACUGGUGUGUUAUGGUGUGUUAUAGUGUGUUAUGGUGUGUACUGGUGUGUUAUAGUGUGUUAUGGUGUGUUAUAGUGUGUUAUAGUGUGUUAUGGUGUGUUAUAGUGUGUUAUGGUGUGUUAUGGUGUGUUAUAGUGUGUUAUGGUGUGUUAUGGUGUGUUAUAAUGUGUUAUGGUGUGUUAUGGUGUGUUAAUGUGUUAUAGUGUGUUAUAGUGUGUAAUGCUGUGUUAUAGUGGGUUAUAGUGUGUUAUGGUGUGUAAUAGUGUGUUAUAGUGUGUUAAUGUGUUAUAGUGUGUUAUGGUGUGUUAUAGUGUGUUAUAGUGUGUUAUGGUGUGUUAUAGUGUGUUAUGGUGUGUUAUGGUGUGUUAUAGUGUGUUAUGGUGUGUUAUAGUGUGUUAUGGUGUGUACUGGUGUGUUAUAGUGUGUUAUGGUGUGUACUGGUGUGUUAUAGUGUGUUAUGGUGUGUUAUGGUGUGUUAAUGUGUUAUAGUGUGUUAUAGUGUGUAAUGCUGUGUUAUAGUGGGUUAUAGUGUGUUAUGGUGUGUAAUAGUGUGUUAUAGUGUGUUAAUGUGUUAUAGUGUGUUAUGGUGUGUUAUAGUGUGUUAUAGUGUGUUAUGGUGUGUUACGGUGUGUAAUGGUGUGUUAUAGUGUGUUAUGGUGUGUAAUGGUGUGUUAUAGUGUGUUAAUGUGUUAUAGUGUGUAAUGGUGUGUUAAUGUGUUAUAGUGUGUAAUGGUGUGUUAUAGUGUGUUAUGGUGUGUAAUGGUGUGUUAUAGUGUGUUAAUGUGUUAUAGUGUGUUAUGGCAGGUUAUGGUGUGUUAAGGUGUGUUAUGGUGUGUAAUGGUGUGUUAAUGUGUUAUAGUGUGUUAUGGCAGGUUAUGGUGUGUUAUAGUGUGUUAUGGUGUGUUAUGGUGUGUUAUGGUGUGUUAUAGUGUGUAAUGGUGUGUUAUAGUGUGUUAUGGUGUGUUAUAGUGUGUUAUGGUGUGUUAUAGUGUGUUAUGGUAUGUUAUAGUGUGUUAUGAUAUUCAGUUACGACUGUAGUGUAGAGAUACGGCUGUAGUGUAGGGAUACGGCUGUAGUGUAGAGUUACGGCUGUAGUGUGGAGUUACGGCUGUAGUGUAGAGUUACGGCUGUAGUGUGGAGUUACGGCUGUAGUGUAGGGAUACGGCUGUAGUGUAGUGUAGGGAUACGGCUGUAGUGUAGUGUAGGGAUACGGCUGUAGUGUAGAGUUACGGCUGUAGUGUAGUGUAGAGAUACGGCUGUAGUGUGGAGUUACGGCUGUAGUGUAGUGUAGAGAUACGGCUGUAGUGUGGAGUUACGGCUGUAGUGUAGUGUAGAGAUAUGGCUGUAGUGUGGAGUUACGGCUGUAGUGUAGUGUAGAGAUAUGGCUGUAGUGUGGAGUUACGGCUGUAGUGUAGAGUUAGGGCUGUAGUGUAGAGUUAGGGCUGUAGUGUAGAGUUGGGGCUGUAGUGUAGAGUUAGGGCUGUAGUGUAGAGUUAGGGCUGUAGUGUAGAGUUAGGGCUGUAGUGUAGAGUUAGG
ensembl:lncRNA